AGAGUUUGAUCAUGGCUCAGAUUGAACGCUGGCGGAAUGCUUUACACAUGCAAGUCGAACGGUAGAGGGGGCAACCCCUUGAGAGUGGCGAACGGGUGAGUAAUGUAUCGGAACGUGCCCAGUCGUGGGGGAUAACGUAGUGAAAAUUACGCUAAUACCGCAUACGAUCUAUGGAUGAAAGCGGGGGAUCGCAAGACCUCGCGCGAUUGGAACGGCCGAUAUCAGAUUAGGUAGUUGGUGAGGUAAAGGCUCACCAAGCCAACGAUCUGUAGCUGGUCUGAGAGGACGACCAGCCACACUGGAACUGAGACACGGUCCAGACUCCUACGGGAGGCAGCAGUGGGGAAUUUUGGACAAUGGACGCAAGUCUGAUCCAGCCAUUCCGCGUGCAGGACGAAGGCCUUCGGGUUGUAAACUGCUUUUGUACGGGACGAAAAAGCUCUUAUUAAUACUAGGAGUCCAUGACGGUACCGUAAGAAUAAGCACCGGCUAACUACGUGCCAGCAGCCGCGGUAAUACGUAGGGUGCAAGCGUUAAUCGGAAUUACUGGGCGUAAAGCGUGCGCAGGCGGUUAUAUAAGACAGAUGUGAAAUCCCCGAGCUUAACUUGGGAACUGCAUUUGUGACUGUAUAGCUAGAGUACGGCAGAGGGGGAUGGAAUUCCGCGUGUAGCAGUGAAAUGCGUAGAUAUGCGGAGGAACACCGAUGGCGAAGGCAAUCCCCUGGGCCUGUACUGACGCUCAUGCACGAAAAGCGUGGGGAGCAAACAAGGAUUAGAUACCCUUGGUAGUCCACGCCCUAAACGAUGUCAACUGGUUGUUGGG
rnacentral:rRNA from 1 species